rnacentral:rRNA from 1 species
AGCAGCAGCCGCGGUAAUACCGAGGGUGCGAGCGUUAAUCGGAUUUACUGGGCGUAAAGCGUGCGUAGGCGGCUUCUUAAGUCGGAUGUGAAAUCCCUGAGCUUAACUUAGGAAUUGCAUUCGAUACUGGGAAGCUAGAGUAUGGGAGAGGAUGGUAGAAUUCCAGGUGUAGCGGUGAAAUGCGUAGAGAUCUGGAGGAAUACCGAUGGCGAAGGCAGCCAUCUGGCCUAAUACUGACGCUGAGGUACGAAAGCAUGGGGAGCAAACAGGAUUAGAUACCCCAGUAGUCCCUGUCUCUUAUAC